rnacentral:sRNA from 1 species
CGAGAAAAAGUGGCGCUUUCGUUAUGCCAUAGAAAUUUCUGCGCCUAACCUUGGCUACAAGAAAAACAAAGAGUAUGGAUGCUACUCUUCCUACCGCCCCUCGUGUGCACGAAAAAGGGGGAUAACCAAAACCAAGCAGUCUUUGAUUCGAUUUAGUGCAAGCGUAAAGAGCACAGCAAAAUAGAGUGAUAAAAUGCCAUCUGUGUUUCAUUCUAAACGUUGGAUUUUAAAUUGCCUUUUCAUUGUCUAGAACUUUUGAUGGAUUACCAGAACAAAUGCCAGAACGUUUUCAAAUAUACGUGCACAUAUUUGGGUAGAUAGAUCUAAUCUAGAGUCUAGUCUAGAGAAUCAGAAUUGCUGUGAACAUUCCAUAAUUUUAAACAUGAGUCUAGAUUCUGUAAAUUUCUGUAGAUCUAGUCUAUGCAUUAUCACGAAAACAUGAAUGAGUGUUCUACAUUGAGGAAUAAAAUCCAGAUCUAAACCUAAAUCUACCAUUCAAUGACUUGGAUUAACCUUCAGAACAAAUAGAACUCACAAUGGAAUAUAUUUAGAUACCAAGAAAAACAACUCUAGUAAUGAAGAGAAACAACUUAUCUCCCCUGACUACCCAAGUCGUUGGCUCGACACUGUGUAUGCUUUUGUUUGGAUAUAUAGUUCCGGUACAAGGCAACUCAGAGUGUAUCCGGCACUCGUGUGACAGCUCCGCCCUUAUCUCUUGCAACCAUUCCAUGGUCCUGCUCGUGACAGAUGUAACCAAUGGACGCUUGAAUAGGAGCAAGGAGACCUUUGAGGACGUGAAGCAGUCGUGCAUGGGAAGGAACAGGUGCAGCCUGCCGUCUUCCUGUAACAGCCGUCCCGGACAGCUUUUCGUCCACUACUUUUGUG